ensembl:Mt_tRNA
CAAAAUGUGGCUAAAAAGUACAGCAUCUCCCUUACACAGAGGAAAUACCCAUGCAAAUUGGGUCAUUUUGA